rnacentral:sRNA from 1 species
GUGUGUGUGUGUGUGUGUUGGGGUGUCUUGUGAAGUCCUGCUAACCUCUUGUCAGCAGAAUAUUCGAGAAAUGCUUCUGAGAAGAGAGAGGAAGAUGACUUCAGAGGCUGCUUGUGGUCUCUCACUCAAGGCUGGGGGAAUCGGUGAAGUACUUCCUGGACAACUUGGACCGGAUCGGCCAGCUGAAUUACUUUCCUAGUAAGCAAGAUAUCCUGCUGGCUAGGAAAGCCACCAAGGGAAUUGUGGAGCAUGACUUCGUUAUUAAGAAGAUCCCCUUUAAGAUGGUGGAUGUGGGCGGCCAGCGGUCCCAGCGCCAGAAGUGGUUCCAGUGCUUCGACGGGAUCACGUCCAUCCUGUUCAUGGUCUCCUCCAGCGAGUACGACCAGGUCCUCAUGGAGGACAGGCGCACCAACCGGCUGGUGGAGUCCAUGAACAUCUUCGAGACCAUCGUCAACAACAAGCUCUUCUUCAACGUCUCCAUCAUUCUCUUCCUCAACAAGAUGGACCUCCUGGUGGAGAAGGUGAAGACCGUGAGCAUCAAGAAGCACUUCCCGGACUUCAGGGGCGACCCGCACAGGCUGGAGGACGUCCAGCGCUACCUGGUCCAGUGCUUCGACAGGAAGAGACGGAACCGCAGCAAGCCACUCUUCCACCACUUCACCACCGCCAUCGACACCGAGAACGUCCGCUUCGUGUUCCAUGCUGUGAAGGACACCAUCCUGCAGGAGAACCUGAAGGACAUCAUGCUGCAGUGAGCAAGGAAGCCCCGGGGUUUGUCGUCGUUGAGCAGCCUCCACGGCUGUGGGUCAGACUCUUGGGUGUGUGUUGUCUGUGUGGUCCUUGAGUGGGUUUCUCGGAUCCGUGCCCUGGAAUACCUGGCUCAGGAAUGCUGUCAGACCAGCCAGCCAGCGAGCUCUAGGCAAAAGGACAUGGAAACUGUCACGUUAGCUACUGAAUCCUGGGGGCGAGUGAAACUACUGAAAAUCCGAGUGAUGAUGUUGUGAAUACGGAACACCUAAUCACACAGCUUGCUUUGCUUUUACAGAAACGUUCCUCUUUUUCUGACGCAGUUUAAUUGAGGACCGUGUUGUGUGUGUAUGUGUGUACACACACGCUCUGUCUUUAAUGGCAGAAACACAAAAACCAGCUGGCCUUGCAGACGGCUUUUCUAACUCAACAGUCUUCCCUGAGACAGACUAACCUGAAAGCUUUGCCUAACGGUAGCUUGUAGAGAUCCAGUGCACGCCGAUGCUGCUAAACUCAGAGUGCCUGAGCCCGGCCCCGCAGCCCCAGCCGCAGUGUCUGAAGGCCACCUCCCAAAGGGAGCACGUUGCCUUUUCAAACUCCCGUGCCGAUUUCCUAAGAGCCCCUAGUCCAAGCCUCUCAGAUGAAGCUGAGGAGCCGUGCCUAGGAUCCCUUCCCAGCUCUGAGGACGGGCUGCGGAGCUCUGCAGGUGUGGAUUCACCUUACGCCUCUACAGCAGGCUCAGCCCUUCCCACCCUGCCCGAUGCCCAGCAGCACAACACGGAGUGAGACAGGAUGCCCACGGUGACUGCCACUCCGUCCGUGCACACACAGCGGUGCUCUUCUCCCCUUAGCCACCCACUGCCCAACCCAACGGCAAAGACACAGAAACCAGGUCCCCUUGCAGAUGGCUCUCCCAUCUUCCUGCAAGUCAUCUGCUCACACACAGCUGGCAGCACAUAGUGUUUCCUUCUUUCAGAAACAUUCCUCUUCUGGGGCUUCAGAAAGCUGGCAAGGCCACUAGCAGAGCUUUUGUUAAUGCCCCAGCUGCUUGGCGAGCUAACAGCUGACCUUUCGGGAAGCCCACAGACGCUGGAGGAAUCUUGAGUUUCUCCAAACUGCCGCUCCACCAGUGCCUUUGGACAGCCGUGCCUGUUCGCCGCUCUCCCUAAGUCUGAUUCUCAUCGAGGCCCCUCGCUUCUAUGACUGUGCUUGCAGAAGAGUAAACACUCUCGGAUGCCGCUGUCCUGGGGGAGCCCGCGGGAGCCUGUGAAUGUUGAUACGAGCUGGCCAGGCCUGGGCCCAGCUCACUUGUCCAGCUACCUGCCAGGUGGCUUUCACUGUGUUUAAAAUACAUUGCAUUCCAAGCUGGUCCCCUCUGUGUAUCACUCUACUGAGAAAUCCUGCCUAGUGUGUUUUGGGAUGUGUCCUAGCAUUUACAAGAAAAUGAAAAGCGUCCUCUUAAUUGGCACCCGAAUGUUGCUGUGGCUCAGUCCCACAUCCCAGGGCCCUCGUCCCGAGGCCGUGCUGCCCCUGACCCUGAGCCCCUCUGCAGCUCACCCUUGGCUUGUUUUCCGCAAACCCGGUAAACGCAAGCCCUUGGGGCAGAUGCAGAAGCAGAAGAGGGAGGGGGAAACCUGCCUCUGGGUCACCCUGUUAGCACAGCGUUCUCAUCAGGAGGCCGCAUGGAACUCUCUCUUGCAGUGAUCGAGGCUGUGCGUCAGUGUUUGCUGGGCUUGUGGCUCCUUUUUUGGCUGGAUAAAGAAGUCGCUGUUUUUGUACUGCUUCUGUGGCUCUUCACAGACCUCACGGAUGUGACCGGAGAUGAGUGCCGAUGACCACGUUUUAAAGGAGAAAGAGAACUCUUGGUGGGGCCCUCGGGAUGGUCUCAGGUCACAUUUGCAGUCUGCAACAGUGACGCGCAGCCCGGUCCGGAGCGUGGUGAGCUUUGUUUGCCUUCUGGGUCGGCUUUCGCUGUGUCUCCUGUGUGUGUUAGAAUCCAGAGCCCAGAGGAAGUGCAAGCGGGUCCUCCGCCAACGGGGAGAGCCUCUUCGCGGCGCUGUUGGCGACAGCAGCGCUGUGAUUGGCGUAGCAGGGGAGUUGUUUGAAACACCUUCCUGAGUAGUCCGGCCUUGUCAAUGAGUGCUUGUUUUCCUUUAAACAGUCUGACAUAUUUACUCGUCACUUUCAAACCAGAAGCAUGAGAGGAAGGAGAUGUUGUGGGGUCCGUUUAACUCGAUAGAAAGCGCAGUGGGAUGGCCCCCGGUGCGGGCUCUUGACCCACUCAGCGCUGACCCCACCGCCCUGGCCGAGGCACUUGGCCUUGCUGAGCUGGACUUCCUCCUCCUCCUCAUGACCAGGGUGAAUUAGAACGUUUUUAAAGACACCCCCUUCCAAAUUCUGUAACACAUUGUAAUUGGAGAAGAAGGAAACUCUGCAAGGCUAAACUGUCAUUCACAACUUUGCUACACAUAGACUCUAGUCAGUUUUGUCUCCAGAACCUUAGGCUUUUGUAUUUUUUAAUUUUAAUUUCACUGUUAAUCCUUAUUGUCUUUUUUAUUAAGAUGUUGGAAAAGCAGGAGGUAGUUGUGCCUCAAUUAUUGCAAAAAUGUAACAAUAAAGUUCCUCAAAAU